rnacentral:rRNA from 1 species
GACGAACGCUGGCGGCGUGCUUAACACAUGCAAGUCGAACGGUAAGGCCCUUCGGGGUACACGAGUGGCGAACGGGUGAGUAACACGUGGGUGAUCUGCCCUGCACUUCGGGAUAAGCCUGGGAAACUGGGUCUAAUACCGGAUAGGACCACUGCCUGCAUGGGUGGUGGUGGAAAGCUUUUGCGGUGUGGGAUGGGCCCGCGGCCUAUCAGCUUGUUGGUGGGGUGAUGGCCUACCAAGGCGACGACGGGUAGCCGGCCUGAGAGGGUGACCGGCCACACUGGGCAUGCGGUACGGCCCAGACUCCUACGGGAGGCGGCAGUGGGGAAUAUUGCACAAUGGGCGCAAGCCUGAUGCAGCGACGCCGCGUGAGGGAUGACGGCCUCCGGGUUGUAAACCUCUUUCAGCACCGACGAAGCGCAAGUGACGGUAGGUGCAGAAGAAGGACCGGCCAACUACGUGCCAGCCGCCGCGGUAAAAC